rnacentral:rRNA from 1 species
GACAGAGGCCUCAAGCGUUAGGCGGAAUCACUGGGCUUAAAGCGUGUGUAGGCGGAUCGUUAAGUGUCUUGUGAAAUCCCACGGCUCACCCGUGGAACGGCUGGGCAUACUGGCGAUCUUGGGCCAACUAGGGGCAACUGGAACAAGCGGUGGAGCGGUGAAAUGCGUAGAUAUCGCUUGGAACGCCAAAGGUGAAAACAGGUUGCUGGGGUUGUGCCGA